ensembl:lncRNA
AUGAAAUCCUGAGGGACUGAGAUGCAUGUUGAAGGCACUGGUCAUAAAUACCAGGAGAGCAGAGGCAGCAGACUCUUAUGACUGUCUCUACAUUCUUGUGUCAGAUAGAUUCCCAUCUCUACAUGCUUGUACAACAUAAAGCAGAAUGUUCUUGCAUACAGAUUGAGAUUUCUCAAUAGACCCAGACUGGAGUCAUGAGCUACCCAUUAAAGCAGUACAAACAAAGCUUGCAGCGUAGCUUUGGAGCUCAUGGAAGAUCCAGUACAGAGUACCAUAACUCUCUAGGUGGUAACAUGUCCUUUCCCAGCUAGUGGACACUUCAGUGCCACCUAGAAUCCAUGUUUGGGGUAGACCCUGAAAGGACCCACACACUGUGUCAUGAUUUAAGUCAACUUUGAUAGGACACCUGCAUUAAGAAAAGUAAUUCCUUUGAGGUAUAACAAUACUACUGAAAAGAUACUGUCAGCCAGCAUCUUAAGAAGCCCAGAGGAGACCACAUGUCCAUGUAACUUGUGUUGAUGACUCCUUCUUCCACCACCACCAGUGAUCUUGGUUAAAGUUACUGAAAAGGAAGAGGACCUCAUGAGAGGGCUUCCUUGGUCACUUGAAGUGAAGCUUGAAAAUGGGCAUGGUGGGAUAGAAGUGAGUGCCACUUACUUAGAAGUUGAUGUAGGGAUAGGUUAAUCAGAGAAGCAUACGAAGAUAUACACAGUAUGCAAAGGUAAAGUAAUCGAUGUGUUGCUGUGUAUUUCUAGAUAAUUACAUGUAUCAAGAAGCUUUUCUUUUUUUAUCUCAGUUUCCCUUAAAGCUCCAUAGUCUUGUCAGAAUGAGUGACACUCAAGCACCCCAAGGUAGCCUUUUUUGUUGUUGUUGUUUUAAUUGGAACUCACAUCAAAUGGUCUUUCCUUCUUACCUGUAUAUUUUAUUAUUUAAAAAUUUUAAUAUUUAAAAUUUUAAUAUUUAAGAAUGCGUUGAGGAGUUAUAAUUUCGAAAUAAAACAAAAAGGAUUUUGGUACACAUUUUUAAUCAUGUUUAGCAUGGAUAUAAAAUGCGGUUCAUUAAGAAUACACUUUCAAAUGCAAUUUACUCUAUACUAUUUAAGUCACAUUAAAGCCAUUAUUUUUUCUGCAAGGAAAAUCUAUUUUCAGUAUAGUUUCACUACUUUUAAAAUAUUGAGCAUUUAACUUUUUCUCGUCUCUGAGUCUUGGUGAGCAGCUUUGGCUGAAGUUAUUGUACAUGUGCACUUGCAUUAAAGGGCACAGAAUCACAAUUAUGGCAUCAGUGUUCUUAAACUGUUCUAGCUGCAUAUAAAAGAUAACCAUGACUGCUGGAUUCUCAGUAUCAUUGUAGAUUUACUACUGCUGUCACACAUAACAGAGAUCAAAAGCAGAGGAGUUUGGAAAGCUGUCUGAGAGUUAGUCUGAAAGAUUUCAUCCCUCAGAUGAAACUGUCUUUUUGUGAAACAGUUACAUCAGGGAUUCCAUUUUAUUAAGAGCUUAAAAUAUGGGUUACUUUGACACUGAAAAUACAUGCCAAGCAAGACGGAAAGAACUAAACAGAUACUGUCAUGAGAAAAAGCAGAAGAAGAAGAAGAAGAAGAAGAAAAAGAGAGAUAAAAAAUCUUACUUCAAAGCACCAAAAUGAUACCAUUUUGCAUAAGUAUAAUUCUACAGAAAAGAUUCCAGAUUAUAUCCUUAGUUCAAUGUUAUUACUCACUAUAAAUAUAAUGGAAACAGUUGUACUUUCUGUCUUCCUAGAAGAUGAUGCUUACACGGAAGCUCAAUUGAUUUUCAAACUAAAAAUACAAGAGUAGCACAAUAGUAGGUACAGAACUUAAGGACUUUCAAAGUCCCCUCCAUGUUUGGAUCUUCUAACUGAAAUAUAACCCUUUAACCAUCUUAGUAUCAUAAUGCAAUAUAUUUUCAAGCUGGAAGUGCUAUUCUGGAUUGCUUUGCUCCACUCAGUUCCAAUUUACAAGUGUUGAUCUCACUCUUUCAAUUAGAGAGCUAUGGAGAGGUAUUAUACAUUGUAGACAGGUCCAAGAGAACAUUUUGCUACCUUGAGUGAAAGUUACUGGAUAAAAUACAGUAAUAGCCUUAUGAACAGCAAAAUUCUUAUGUCUCUGUGACUCAUCCAUUGGAUUAAGCUGGAAGCACCCCCUCUUCCAUUUGCUGCCUGACAAUCUGUACUCCAGGCAGAAAAUAAAAGUACUUUAACAAAAGAGCAAGUUUAAAGUUCAAGCAGGGGAAAGAAGGAAACUAAAAAGCAUAAUGAUUUAGGAGCUGUUUUGAAAGAUAGUGUGUGUGAGUUUGAAAGCACUCAGACUUGGACAGAGCUAACCUAUGUCUCCCAUAGUUUAAGAUCAAUGCAUGCUUAAGAGCAAGAAAUCAGGAAAAGAUGACAGGAGACCUGGAUUGCCUAGGAGCUUAUGGAAAAAAAAAAGAUUACAGGAACAUUUUCAGGGCAUGAAAGGAUGACACAAGGAAGGCUAAGGCCCACUUGCAAUUAAAUCUGGUGAGGGAGGUCAAGGGCAACAAAAAAGGUUUUUUUAAGAAUGUGAGGCACAAAAAGGAAGACUAGUGAAAAUGUGGGCCCUCUGCUGAAUGAGGUGGGUGCUUUGGAAACAGAGGACAUUAAGAAGGUGGAGUUACUGAAUAUCUUUUUUGUUUCAGUCUUUACUGAUAGAACUUCCUCUCAGGAAUCUCAGAUCCUGAAGAUAGUCUGGGGAGAGGAAGGCUUCCUUUGAGAAAGAUCUGAUCAGAGAUCUUUUAGGCAAACUUGACACACACAGAUCCAUGGGCCCCUAUGGGAUGCAUCAACAAGUGCUGAGGGAGCUUACAGAGUUGACAGCAUUUGAUUGCCAAACUUCUUUCUAUCAUGAAAGAUCAUGGAAGAGAGGUGCCUGAGAACUGGUGGAAAGUCAGUGUAACUCCAGUCUUCAAAAAGGAUGAGAAGAUGAACUCAGGAAGCUACAGGCCAGUCAUCCUCACCUCCGUCCCCCAUAAAGUAAUGGAACAGUUUAUUCUGGAUGUAAUCUCCAAGCAAGUAGAAGAAGGUAAUUAGGAGCAGUCAGCAUGGGCUGACCGAGAGGAAACCACACUUGACCAAUCUAGUAGAUUUCUUUGCCACCAUGACCAGCUGGGUAGAUGAUGGGAGAGCAGUGGAUGUUGUCUACCUUGACAUCACCAAGACUUUUGACAGUGUCCCCCAUAACAUCCUCAUGGAUAAGCUUAGAAAGUAUGGAAUAGAUGAGUGGAUAGAGGAGGGAGUGAGAACUGGCUGAUUGGCAAAGCACAGAGGGCUGUGAUCAGUGGCACAGAGUCUAGCUGGAGGCCCGUAGCUAGCAGUGUUCCCCAGGGAUUGCUACUGGGCCCAAUCUUGUUCAGUGACCUGGAUGAAGGGAUUGAAUGCAUCCUCAGCAAGUAUCCUCAGCAAGUUUGCUGAUGAGCCAAAGAUGAGAGGAGUGGCUGACACACCAGAAGGUUGCACUGCCUGCCAUUCAGCAAGACCUGGACAGGCUGGAGAGUUGGGCAGAGGGGAACCUGAUAAGAUUCAACAAGGGCAAGUGAGAGUUCUACACCUGAGGAGGAAUAGUUGCAUGUAUCAGUGCAGGUGAGGGGCUGACGUACUGAAAAGGAGCUCUGCGGAAAAGGAUCUGAGAGUCCUGGUGGGCAACAGGUUGGCCAUGAGCCAUCAGUGUUCCCUUGUGGCCCAGAAGGUCAGCAACGUUCUGGGGUAUGUUACAAAGAAUAUGGCCAGCGGAUAGUAGGAGAUGAUGAGUGGCCUGGAGCAUCUCUCUUAUGAGGGAAUGCUGAGAGCCCUGGGACUGUUCAACCUGGGGAAGACUGAGGGGGAAUCUUAUCAAUGCUUAUAAAUACCAAAUGAAUGCGGCCAGGAUAUUUUCAGCAGUGCCCAGUGACAGAACAAGGGACAGUGGGCACAAACUCGAACAUAGAAAGUUCCAUAUAAACAUGACAAAGUACUUCUUUUCUGUGAGAGGUACUGGAAAAAGCUGCCCAGAGAAGUGACGGCAUCUCCUCUGGAAAUUCAAAACCAUUCAAAACCUGCCUGAAUGCUUUCCUUUGGAACCUACUGUAGGGAAUAUGCUUUAGCAGGGAGUUGGACUAGAUGAUCUCCAGAGGUACCUUCCAACACUUACAACACUGUGAUUCUGUGAUGGCUUUGGUUGGGAUUCUAGACACAGAUACAAGAAGUUAGAAGUUGGAAGGUUCUGAUAUUUUCAUCUGUAUUGUAAGCAUCACUUCUCCU